UGGCAUCGUUGGAUUUGAAUUUAACCUAACCAACUUAAAAAGUACACCCUUGCUGCUUUGCCACAUAGAUGAUGGCCUGACCAGGGUUGGACUUGAUUGUUGAAGCAAGAUGUAAUGGAAAGUAAGAUGGAAAACAAAACUGGACAAGAUGGGCCUGCAGGAAAAAGUCGAGCCCCAGCAGGCUUAAAAAAAAAGUGGCAGAACCCCAAAAAUACAAAGAUUGCAAGGGGACCAGCGGGAGUGCCAGCCCUGCUCUUUGGUCCUGGUUUGUCCCCAUGGAUGAGGUGUCCACUGCCCCCCUGUCCUAAUUGCCUCUAACCCUGUGGAGCUGAGCCUGACCAGGACGACAACAGCAGGAGCCAACCAGGGCCAAGGAGGAGAACACCAAGGUCUCUAUUGUGGCACCCCAUCCAUGUCUACAAUUCUGUUGGAGAAGGUUCAGCAGCACUGCCAGAGACUCUCUGCUCAGCCUAACGUCCUGCCUGGUGUCGACGUUGUUGAAAAACCUGUCUAGGACAGUGACGGCCAUAUUGACCCUGCAGUACAGGGGUCUGGUCUGGAUCUUUUGUUAAUAAGAUAAUUCAAUUCAUUUUAGAGCUUUGAUAGAUGAUGCUGAAUCUGUUAGUCGAUCCACUUAUCAGUCUCUCUAGGCCUCUCAAUCUGGUUUGAUUCAUGGCUAAAUAUUUUGAUAUUUAAUUGAGGUCAAGGUUCUUUACCUAUUAAUCAACUGUCAAGGUUAUAUGGCAUCCGAUCAACAGUUUAUUUGUCUAACA